CACAGUGCCUCGAGGUGCCAGUCAUUUAUGAAGUUUAUGAAAGCAGAAACAGGUCUCCAGAAUAUGAUUUUUGUCCAAGAUCUUCCCUUCAGAGAAGCUGGAAUGGUCAUUCAGCCACUCAAGGUCGUUCAGCAUCAGCAUUCUUGAAAAUAUCUCCAGUGAAGAUAUUCAGUGUCUUGCCUUUGUUGACACCUACAUCAGGAAAAAUGGGACGCCCCCAAAGGCUGGCAUGGACGCUGGGACAGACUCAAGGAUGUCCCUGACCAACUUCGGGGCAGGCCAGGAGUGUCAGACUCAGGGGGGAUGCAAACUUCACCUCCAAGUUCGUGGACCGACCGCCAGUUUGUGGUGAUUGCCUCUGAGAAGGUUGCAUGGCUGGUGUCAUUGUCCACCUAAAAUUGUGUUUUCAAGCAGAUUCUGACUGACGUGUUGUUCGUUGUGAACGCGGACAUGGUCACCAUCAAAGGUU